rnacentral:lncRNA from 1 species
UGCGUUAUUGCAAAAUAAAUUUAUUUGAAGAUACACGGUCUUAUAAAAGGUCAGAGGCAAUUAGAGAUCCCAGAUUCAGCUUGUCUCAUAAAAAGAUACAACUUCAAGUAGCACAAUUUCGCGUCUGCUUUUAAUCCUGAACGUUCUUGAAUCACGAAACAGCCAACUGUUUACACAACACGCUCAACAUCUGACUCCAGCACAGGUGGACCCACAGCUUCUGGCUUGGGGGCCGCAGCGCCGCAGCCCUCUGGCUGGGGGGGGCGCCUGGAGAGGGCCACUGUUGCCACCAGCUCGGACAGCACGGACAGGCUACGGCCUCCCAGCCCUUCCCUCCCCUCACAACCUCCAAAAGCAUGAAAACAAACCAAAAGCAGCCCGCCACCAAGGCCUUCGCCCGGCUCCCAGGAGGAAACGGGAUGGACUCCUAUGUGACGGUGUGCUGACGGGGCAGGGUGGGCCUUCCUGGUGACCCCUGGCGGGCUGGCCAGCUGAGGGGCCGAGCAGGCGGCCUCACCAGGGCCUCACCCGGCUGCACGGCAGCCAGGAAGGAGGAAGGAGGCUCAUGGGUGUGGCGGCUCCUGCCCAUGCUGGCGGGAGCUACGUGAGGAUCCUGGCGAUGGCUUGCAGGGAGGGAAAGUCGUUGUCCUGGGCGGCGUGGAGUGCCUGGUGGCUGCUGACGUCCCCAUGUGCGAGCACCUGCUGGCAGGUGGGGCACACGCAGCAGUCCAGGCCCGCCGGC